UACGGAGGGUGCGAGCGUUGUCCGGAAUCACUGGGCGUAAAGGGCGCGUAGGUGGCCUCUUAAGUGUGUGGUGAAAGCCCGGGGCUCAACCCCGGGUCGGCCAUGCAAACUGGGGGGCUGGAGCACUGUAGAGGCAGGCGGAAUUCCGGGUGUAGCGGUGGAAUGCGUAGAGAUCCGGAAGAACACCGGUGGCGAAGGCGGCCUGCUGGGCAGUUGCUGACACUGAGGCGCGACAGCGUGGGGAGCAAACAGG
rnacentral:rRNA from 1 species